GUACCCUUCGGGGUUACACACGAUAAAAUUGGAGCGGUACAGAGAAGUUGGUUUCUACGAGAGCAGUCAAUGAUCUGCUUACUUUACUUCCUUUUUUGGCACUAUCUGUUUAUGUUUGUUUACUUUGUGGCAAUGGCCCCUGCACAAGGAUGACACGCUUUCCCGGAGUGGUAGACCUACGGGUCUCAAUAUUUAU
rfam:Hydnomerulius pinastri MD-312 unplaced genomic scaffold scaffold_12, whole genome shotgun sequence.